rnacentral:rRNA from 1 species
UUACGGCCUUAUCAUGUUGAAACACCAGGUUCCUUUCUACAUCCCCAAAGUUAAGCAACGUCGAGCCUGAUCAGUACCUAGAUGGGUGACUGCUUGGGAAUACCAGAUGC